GGGCAGGUGUCCGAGUGGUUAAAGGAAACGGACUGUAACUCCGUUCGCGUAAGCGUACACAGGUUCGAACCCUGUCCUGCCCA
rnacentral:tRNA from 1 species